GGAUUCUGGGCGUAAGCGCACGCAGGCGGUCUGUCAAGUCGGAUGUGAAAUCCCCGGGCUCAACCUGGGAACUGCAUUCGAAACUGGCAGGCUAGAGUCUUGUAGAGGGGGGUAGAAUUCCAGGUGUAGCGGUGAAAUGCGUAGAGAUCUGGAGGAAUACCGGUGGCGAAGGCGGCCCCCUGGACAAAGACUGACGCUCAGGUGCGAAAGCGUGGGGAGCAAACAGGAUUAGAUACCCUGGUAGUCCACGCCGUAAACGAUGUCGACUUGGAGGUUGUGCCCUUGAGGCGUGGCUUCCGGAGCUAACGCGUUAAGUCGACCGCCUGGGGAGUACGGCCGCAAGGUUAAAACUCAAAUGAAUUGACGGGGGCCCGCACAAGCGGUGGAGCAUGUGGUUUAAUUCGAUGCAACGCGAAGAACCUUACCUACUCUUGACAUCCAGAGAACUUUCCAGAGAUGGAUUGGUGCCUUCGGGAACUCUGAGACAGGUGCUGCAUGGCUGUCGUCAGCUCGUGUUGUGAAAUGUUGGGUUAAGUCCCGCAACGAGCGCAACCCUUAUCUUUUGUUUGCAGC
rnacentral:rRNA from 1 species